GCUUAUGGCCAUACCAGCCUGGCUAUGCCCGAUCUCGUCUGAUCUCGGAAGCUAGGCAGGUUUGGGACUGGUUAGUACUUGGAUGGGAGACCGCCUGGGAAUACCAGGUGCUGUAAACU
ensembl:rRNA 5S_rRNA 5S ribosomal RNA